UACGGGGGGAGCAAGCGUUGUUCGGAUUUACUGGGCGUAAAGGGCUCGUAGGCGGUUCGUCACGUCGGGAGUGAAAACUCGGGGCUUAACCCCGAGCCUGCUUCCGAUACGGGCAGACUAGAGGUAGGCAGGGGAGAGCGGAACUCCUGGUGUAGCGGUGGAAUGCGCAGAUAUCUGGAGGAAUACCGGUGGCGAAGGCGGCAUCCUGGACCGACAUUGACGCUGAGGAGCGAAAGCUAGGGGAGCAAACGGG
rnacentral:rRNA from 1 species